CUAUAAAGCACCCCUUUGUUGCCAGCACAAAGAAAGAAGCAUUGACCCCUAUGAUCUAGGAGGACUCACAGAGCAACAAGGCUAUCUAUCAUAUUGGAGAGCAUUUCAUCGGUGUCAACUAAAUGGAUGGAAACUCAAGAUCUUCAUCAAAACGAGCCAAGUUGUUGGUCAUGAAGAUGAGUCCUCAGAUUAAGAAGCUCUCCAUCAAGCAACAGAAUGAGCGUUUGGAGAUUGAGAACAAAAUAAUGGCGAUUGAGAACCAAAAAAUGCGCGAGGAGUUGAGGACAUAUCGAUGUGCUGCUUGCUUGAAGAUUGAAAAUGCCUGCCUGAAAGUUGAGGUUUGCCAAAGUAGAUCCAAGACAUAUAACGAUAUACUAUAACACUUCCAUCGUGCAUUAUUUCUAAAUCAUGACUAGAAAA